AUGUCUCUGAGAAUUCUACUAAAGGGUGGUAAAUUUCGAAGUUCCCUCCUUUUGCAAAGAAAAAACACAGAAACUUCAAAUUUAAAUUGAUUUUUUUCGAAAGAACAUUCUUUGACAUUUAUUUUUUAAAAAUUAUCUUUUUCAAAUGUUGGCAGUUGCUACGUCUCAGAUAAUCCAUCCGUUGAGUCCAAUUUUCGAUGACUCGUUUGAAUGGAAGCGCGAUUUUCCGCAUAGACUUUAGACCUUACAUACAUACAUGUUUGACAGCUCUUGAAUCUCUUCAGGCUGCUCUUCGUUCCAAACGCGACAAUUUUGCUUGUUUACCUAACCAUUGAGUGAAGUAAUGCCGCUUGGGAAGGUCGAGCCGUUUCAGUUCUUGCAUAAAUUGUAUUUUGUUCGCUUUCAAUUUAAGAUCUCAGCGUAAAAUGUGCCAAGUCGUUUCAUACGGCACUCCGAGUUGCUGCGAUCGGCGCCGAAUCGACUCUCCACGGUCUUCGUGUACACUCUCAGCUAUGGCUGCUAUAUUUUCUUCACAACGUGCUGAACGUGGCGUUCGGUCGAAUAUUAUCCAAUAAAUAAUGUUGAGUUUGAAGAUGGGUUAUGGUGUUGCGACUAAUACACAGUUGUCCAUAAAUUAAGCAAAGCGCACUAAACAGCUUCUUCACAAAACGUGAAUUUUCGUAAUAAAGUUUGUAAACGUUGUUAGGUAGUCUUUCUGUUCAGUAAGUCUUUCUACGAUGAAAUGCUUAACAAUACUCAAAAAAAGUAACACGACAGCUUGACACGAAUCAUGCAUGACCUGUCAAAAAAAGGCUAUUGAAAAAGGUGCCCCAACUUGGAACAUAUAUUGUAUUGUAUGCUGAAAAGUCAAUUCCAAAAAAACAAGAUGAGCUACAAAAAAAUAAUAACAUUAAUAUUCCAAAUUAGUAUCUUAUUAAUUUAAGUAUAUUUUGCACAGUGUCCGCGAUAUUUAUAGGAGGAUCAAAAAGGAAUAUGAGCUUUGGUCCAAUGUCUAGACCAGUUUCAUUCAUAUUCAGCGCUAAACCUCCAAAUGAACUUCUUUACUGGCGUAGACACCGCUUAUACAAUGUUCGGACCGACAACGAAAACAUGUUUUCGUGGAAAAAACUGGUUUUCGCACGAAAACUUAUGUUUUCGUCCAUGUAAAAUCUGUCAAACGAAAACACAGUUUUCGCUGAAAACUACUUGAAAACUUACAUUCCACUCAUUAUAAUCGGUGCCUGCUCUAGUUUAAUCGAUUUUUUUGGAAGACAUAUUUUGCCGGCCCUAAAUUGUCACUUGAUAUUUGUUUACAUUCCAUACACAGUUGUCAGUUUGUAUUUGAUAUUAAUAUUAAAAAAUGGAAAAACAAAAAUUUCUAUUGGUGCUGGAACAUUUAUGUGCUGGAAUGAAACAUCUACGUGACAAUAAUUUAGUACAUCGCGAUUUAAAACCGGGAAAUAUAAUAAAAUUUAUUUCGGAGAUGGUCAAACCAUAUAUAAUACAAGCUAACUGAUUUCGGUGCCGCCCAGGAAUUGGAUGAUAACAAAGCGUUUGUUUCACUUUAUGGAACAGAGGAGUAUUUACAUCUCGAUAUGUAUGAACGUGCUGUGCUACGUAAACAAAUAAAUCGUUCAUUUACUGCAAAUGUGGACUUAUGGUUCAUUGGUGUCACUCUUUACCAUGUAGCAACUGGAAAUUUACCAUUCCGUCCUUUUGGUGGCCGUAAAAACCACAAAAAACAAUGCAUCAAAUAACCACAAAAAAGGCGUCUGGCGUAAUUUCGGGUACUCAACUAUCCGAAAAUGGACCAGUCGAAUGGUGGACUACGCUGCCAUCAUAUUGCAAUUUGUCAGAAGAUCUAAAAACAUUGGUGACACCGCUCUUGACUGGUUUGUUAAAAAAAAUAUCUAGAGAAAACCUGGUGUUUGAUCGUUUCUCCAAGAAGUAACAUUAAUUUUGCGUAAAUUCGUUUUGCAUGUCUUUUUCACAAAUCGCACCACUUCUGUGGAAGUUUACCUCGAACCAGUCGUACAAAUUGAUAAAUUUCGUGAACGCAUAUUACUACAGCCGGAGUACCAAUAGAAAAGCAGAUAUUAUUAUUCAAUAAUGAGCCUUUGGAAAGUGACGUCCUCUUCCAUAUCUAAAGCUUUUCCUAAAACCACAGCAGAAAAUCCAAUAUUCCUAUAUAGUAAUGAUGACAAUAAUGUAACGUAACGUGUCGGUUGAAAAUUAUGCCAGUCUUGCUAAGGUGGGUGUUUAUUAUUUGGUUCAGAUUAUAUUUUAGUGAGUAUUUUAUUUAUUAUUUUUUAGGCCGCUUGUAGCGUUGGACAUGAAUGCAAGAGACACCUUUACAUUUAUGGGUAUUUUAAUAAAGCGUUCUGUAGAACAAGAAGACAGCAGUCGGGUCAACUGGCUGUUCUCCCUAAAUUAUAAUUAAUAAAUAUUAAUUCUAAUACGA